GUGUCCAGUGUGAAGUGCAGCUGGUGGAGUCCGGGGGAGGCUUGGCGCAGCCUGGCGGGUCGCUGAGACUCUCCUGUGCAGCCUCUGGAUUCACCUUCAGUAGCUACUGGAUGCACUGGGUCCGCCAGGCUCCAGGGAAGAACCCGGAGUGGGUUGGUGUUAUUAGAAACAAAGCUAAUAGUCACACAACAGACUACGCUACGUCAGUGAAAGGCAGAUUCACCAUCUCCAGGGAUGACUCCAAAAGUACAAUGUAUCUGCAAGUGAUCCAACUGAAAACCGAGGACGCAGCCGUGUAUUACUGUACCAGAGACACAGUGAGGGGAUAUAGGUUUGAGCCUAGACACAAACCUGCCUGCAGGGGCGUUCACAACCAGCAGGGGGUGUUGGGGCUGCAGAAGAACCAAGAGUAG